rnacentral:rRNA from 1 species
UACAGAGGUCUCGAGCGUUAGGCGGAAUCACUGGGCUUAAAGCGUGUGUAGGCGGAUCGGUAAGUACCUUGUGAAAUCCCACAGCUUAACUGUGGAACUGCUUGGUAUACUGCCAGUCUUGAGCCAGCUAGGGGCUACCGGAACAAAUGGUGGAGCGGUGAAAUGCGUAGAUAUCAUUUGGAACGCCAAUGGGUGAAAACAGGUAGCUGGGGCUGUGCUGACGGCUGAGACACGAAAGCCAGGGGAGCGAACGGG